GUCUAUGGCUAUGCCACCGUGAACAAGCCCGAUAUCUGAUCUCGGAAGCUAAGCAGGGUUGGGCCUAGUUAGUACUUAAAUAGAAGACCACCUAGGAAGACCAGGUGCUGUAGGCA
rnacentral:rRNA from 1 species